rnacentral:rRNA from 1 species
CUACGGGUGGCAGCAGCUAAGAAUCUUCCGCAAUGGGGGGAACCCUGACGGAGCGACGCCGCGUGUGUGAAGAAGGCGGAAACGUUGUAAAGCACUUUUCUUGCUGAAGAAUAAAGAUGAGAGGGAAUGCUCAUUUGAUGACGUUAGGCAAGGAAUAAGCCCCGGCCAAUUACGUGCCAGCAGCCGCGGUAACACGUAAGGGGCGAGCGUUGUUCGUAAUCAUUGGGCGUAAAGGGCUCGUAGGCGGAUUAUUAAGCUUGGUGUUAAAGUACCCGGCUCAACUGGGUGAGAGCGCUGAGAACUGAUAGACUAGAGUUUAGGAAGUGAAACUGGAAUUCCUGGUGUAGGGGUGAAAUCUGUAGAGAUCAGGAAGAACACCGGUGGCGAAGGCGAGUUUCUAGCCAUAAACUGACGCUGAGGAGCGAAAGCGUGGGGAGCGAACAGGAUUAGAUACCCUGGUAGUC